rnacentral:rRNA from 1 species
GACGUAGGGCGCGAGCGUUGUCCGGAUUUAUUGGGCGUAAAGAGCUCGUAGGCGGCUUGUUGCGUCAGCUGUGAAAACCCGCAGCUCAACUGUGGGCUUGCAGCUGAUACGGGCAGGCUUGAGUUCGGUAGGGGAGACUGGAAUUCCUGGUGUAGCGGUGAAAUGCGCAGAUAACAGGAGGAACACCGGUGGCGAAGGCGGGUCUCUGGGCCGAUACUGACGCUGAGGAGCGAAAGCGUGGGGAGCGAACAGG